rnacentral:lncRNA from 1 species
UAUAUAUAUAUGUUAUUUGUGCCAGGGUCCACAUUAGGUGUCCUCUUCCGUCAACUUGUUUGCUUGUUUUUGCACUCCCUUAGUCUUGGUUCUAACUUGCACUUGAUUUGUGCAAAACACACAGACUCCUUUCCCUGCAUAAAGGUUUAGGCCUCUGUUCAAUAAAAAGGAAAAGAUAAAGAAAAUGAAAAAAAAAAAACAUUGGUCUUUAAUUAGCAACCAAUUUAGAAACUAUUUAACAAUAAUACAAAAUAAUAGAAACUAAUUUAGAAACCAAUUUUUGUUUUAGUUUCUAAAAUGGUCUCUAAUCUAGUUACUAUUGCAACUAAUUAUUUUAGUUUCUAAAAAUUAAUUUCUAUUUGAUAGUGACAUAGUGAGUUUGUUUUUGACUUUUGGACUUUUGGUCCUGCAGAUGUAUUUUUUUUAGAUCAUUUACUUGUAAGCAAAACUAUUGUUGCAUCAACUUCAAUGCUAGUAACAUGGAGGAAACAGAUAGAGAGGAUCAAGUAAACUGGAACAGACUCAUUUCUACAUGUAUCUUUUAUAAUUCGAAAGAGUAAAAUUGUGUAUCUUUUAUAACAUUACAGAUCGACUAAGGCUGUCUUGAAGCAACAAAUUAUAUUCUUUCUAAUUAUGAAAAACUGUUGUGAUUCAAACAUAAUAAACCUGAGUAGAAAAUGAGGCAAGUAAAUAUCUUAAAGAACUCAAAUAUCUAUAUUAAAAAAUAAAUUCAAUAUUAUUAUUAAUAUAAAUAUUUUUAUUAGCAAUAUUAAUAUUAAAAAUAUAAAUAAUCUUAAUAAUUUUAAAUAAUAUAAAUAAUAUUAAUCAUAAUAAUUAUAUACAUAAUAUUAAAAAUAUUUUAUAUAUAUAAAUAAUUAUAACUAAUAUUCAUAAAUAAUAAUAAAAAUUAAUAAUAAGUAGAACUAAUAGAUAUACAUAUUAUUAACAUUAUAAAACUAAUAAUAUUCAUAUAAUAUUAUAAAUAAUAUAAAUAAUAUUAAUAAUAAUAAUAAUAUUAAUGAUAUUAUUAAUAAUAUUAAUGAAAUUAGUGGUAUUAAUAAUAUUAAUAACAUUAAUAGUAUUAAUGAUAUUAAUAACAUUAGUAGUAAUAACAAAAAAAAUAUUAUUUAUAAUCUUAAUACUAUUAAUAAUAAUAUUAAUAAUUUAUAAUAUUAUUAAUAUGAAUAGAAAUAAUAAUAUUAGUAAUAAUAACAUUUGUAUGGACUGAACUCCAGUCCAUAGAGAGGACGCCUCAGGCCCAACUCCAACCCAAGAUUACUUCAUCCACUAUGCUUCAGAGGAUUACUAGGAGUAGGGCACAAGUAUUAGGAGAUGAGCAUCAAUUAAUGUCUUUUUUUGUAUUUUCUUUAGAGUAGAUUUAAAUAGAACAUAAAAAAGAGGUGUGAAUAGGAGUUUAGGGCUUAUGAGAAGACACAUUUUCCAUGUGACUUGUAUUAAGCGGCAAUUUCAAAUGAGUUUCAUUUGAAUUUCCCACCUAUUUGUUUUGCUCAAAACCGAUCCUAUAACACUAUAAAUAGGAAUGCUUGGUUCAUGUAAAAUUACAUAAGUGGCGGCAACAUCACUUAUAUUGAAGUCUAUUCACCUUCAAGUGGCGUGAACCAUCUUCCCUUGCUUAAACCACAUAAGUUCUUCCUAUCAUUCAUCUUCUAAUUUCCUUUCCAUUCCAUGUCAAUCUCUAAAUAUGUGUUGUUCAGGUGUGCUUGAAUCCAAUCGGUUAUGUUGCUUUGUUUGAUGAUUCUAAUCGGUUCUAUGGUUUCUAUUUGUGUUUCUAAUCGGCUUAAUUGAGUUGAAUCUUUAAUUCAAUCGGUUCAUUGUCUUUGUUUUGUGUUCUUGAUUCCACACCACUAAUUGUCAUUCAUAUUCAUUUAUACUUGUGUUUUUGCUUUGGUCUUUGGAAAUGAACCUUCACAUCUACUUAACACUUGUUAAGUUAAUGUCCAGUGGGGAUUUUCCUUAGACUUCUCACCUUAAUUGCUUAAGAAUUCUGAUCCUAAUUCUAAAAAGUGUCACCUAAUGAAUCAACCUAAAAUCAACUCACAUCAUGUGGUAUCAUGAGUAGUUGAGUUAAAACUAAGGCAAUUUCUGUUGAAGAUGAUUGUUGCCCCUUCAAGAUUGUGUUUGAUGAAGACUUUUAUGUACAUUUCAUGUGUAUUUUUGAUAUUGCUUUAAGUGUGUCUUAGGUAGUGCUUAGAGGUUGUUUAAAAGUGGGCUUUUUGCUGAGUAACUCACCUCAUAACCAUUAGCCAUGUGAUAAGAACAAGCAUAAGUUUUCUUAAACUGUUUUUCACAUGUUUUACAAAAAACACGUUUACUGCAUAAAAAUAAAUCUGUUCUUUUCUAAAUAAACAGAUUUAUUUUUAAACUGAUGUCUUGGCUAGGUCUUGUGAAAAUUAGAUUUUGUGCAUCAUGUAUUUUGACUAAGUCUUCUACCUUUCAAAACGACUGUGUUUGAAUAGUUAAGCUUUUCUGUUUUCGUUUUGAAAAAUAAAUUUGUUCAUCUGUAAAUGAAUAGAUUCAUUUUGUCUCAGGUGCCAUAUCUAGCUUAAACGUUUUUCAGUUUUAUCUCUGCACCAGAAUGGUUGACUAAGUCUCCUCACUUAACAAAUUCUCUAACUGCUUUUGAAAAUAAAUCUGUUCAUUUUAUUUUCAAUCUGUUCAUUUUAUAUUAGCUUUAACUGUUUUUCAAAAUUCUGUUAUAAGUUGGUUUUCUAUAAAAUGAAAACUUGUUACUGAGUUUAAACAUCAUUCAUACAUUUGUAAAAACAAGUUUUACAGCAGAGAAUUAAGAGUUUACAAAGAAUUAGCAUUUGUUCUUAAAAGAUUUCGAAAAUCACAAAGUGCUUGUUCUUGGUUUGGUUCCAAAAGCUUGGUGUGAGGUGCUGCUACUGUUCUAGCAAUCUUGCCUACUGGUUUAAGGCAGAUCUUUGUAUCCUCAAUCAGGUGUAGUCGUUUCACUUUUCAUUCCUUGUAAUAGUUUGGUUGAACACUCUUCUUGAUAGGUUUUCUUGAAGAGUGUGUGUGAGCUGAAAUGGGUUUUUUCAACAAGAGUAACUCAGUUGAGUGAACCAGUAUAACUGCCUUGUGUUCAUUCUCUCUCAAUCUCUGCAAUUAAAAAUAAAUCUGUUCUUUCUGGGCACGACUCAUAUUGUUCUUAAUUUCUAGAAAACUGGUUGAUUUCAAUAAGAACACUUAUAAUCUGUUAAAAGCCAUUAGAACAUGUUGAUUGUAAUAGAUCACUCAAUAAACUGUCAAACCAUUAAUUGAACCUUAAUCACUUGCUCGAAAUUGAAGGUUGUUGUUUUUUGUGAUUCACUGUUUUUCGUUCUAAUAUCAGUGUGUGUGCAUCUGGAAAAUCUAUCUGCAUAAUCUUGUGAUUAACCUGGCUGUAUAAACGUUUUUCAAACACAAACCGUGCCAAAAUAAAUCUGUUCAUUUUCACAUAAAUCGAUUUAUUUUCUGUAAACUGUGUUAAACACCAUUUCUGCGAAAAAGAUUUAAAAGGUCAAUUCACCCCCCUCUUGAACUUUGGCACUAUUAAACCCAACAGUUUCUUCCUGCACCCCUACAUUUUUCUUCCUGCACCCCGACAAUGUUAUACGAAGACCAAAUUGUCCCUAUUAUUUUUUAAAAACUCUAAAAUGCACUUGAACUGUAUUUAUUUUUUGCAUUAUGGAUUAUGGAAUCCGGAAAAAUUUUGGAUUGGCACUUUCAGUAAAAUUUUCGGUAAAAUUACGGAUCCACCAAUCCGUAAUUCAAAAUAUGCAUUUCACAUUCAAAAAUCCAUUAUUCAAAAAAAGCAUUCUGGAUCAACCAAUCCGUAACAGAAAUAUGCAUUCCGGAUUCAAAAAUCCAUAAUUUAAAAAAAAAAGCAUUAUGGAUCCAUGAAUCCGUAACAGAAUUAGGCUUCCGGAUUCAGCAAUCCAAAAAUCAAUAAUUUAUGCAAAAAUUGCUUCCGAAACACCCCUCAUCCGGAAAAAAAAAUGUUCAGUUCCGGAUUGAUGAAUCCGUAGCACACUCCCAAAUCCCUAUUUCUAGUACGGUGUCCUUUUUCAAAUAAAAGAUUAAGGCCAGUUUAGGAUUUAGAAAAUUGUGGGGUGCAAAAGAAGAAGCCUAAAACUAAUUAAGAGUUCAAAACCUACUUAAAAUUAGGUUUUGUUGGCCUAUUCUUCGCCCAUUUAAAACAUUAUAGUUAUUGCAAUUCAAACACAUUUUUUCUAUCUCAGCCACAACACCUUCCGACAUAACUAUACGAUAUCAAUAACACUGGGACUAUUUCAUGAAUUAUGAAUAUAUUUUUAAUUAUAUUAUGUAUAAUAGUAACUCGAAUAGUAACUUUUCCAAAUAGUAACACCUCUUCCGAAUAGUUACGAGUUUUCAGACCCUUUCCGAUCCGCUUCCGAAUUACGAGUUUGACAACAUUGCUUUCAAUUAUUGUUGUUCAUGGGACUUUAUUAGAUUCUCAAAAUAUCUGUAGAGGUUUUCCUUCGCAACUACAACAAUACAAAUUUUCUUCUGAUGUGAUGGUAUUACCUUUGCGGCAUUGUGAUUUAGUUCAAGGAUUUCAAUGGUUGUCCAACUAAGGUCCAAUCAUAUGAGAUUUAAGAAGCUGCAAAUGGAAUUUACUAUUGAAGGAAAACAAUUUGUUUUGAGGCAAGCCAACCCUUCUAGCAUUAAGAUGAUAAAUAAUAAAACCUUUACAGACACAAUCCAGCAAAGGGCCCAAUUGUGAUUUUUAUAUUUGAACAAGUUUGCCCAUCCUUUUGAAGUUCCUACAUGCCCACUGAACUCUACCAAUGCAGAAAUUCUCAAUUUACCAAUUGAGAUAGAUGAUCUCAUCACAGAAUUCAGUGACAUAUUUGCUGAGCCAAAACACCUACCCCUUGCAGAAUUAGGCUUGAUCAUAGAAUUCCUUUAGAGGAAGACCUUAGGUACUGCAUUAUUCAAAAGACAUAGUGGAUAAUCUAGUUGAUGAAAUGCUUAACCAGGGAAUUAUUCAACACAAUAAUAGUCCCUAUGCAUCUUCAGUGGUGUUUAGAAAAAAUGGUUCUUGGAGAGUUUGUGUAGAAUAUCAACAGUUGAAUCAACAAACCACAAAACAUCAAUUUCUCGUUCCAAUUUGGACUUAAGUCUUCCAUUUCCAGGUCCUUAGAGACCAACAAUUAUAUCUCAAAAAAGCAAAUAUUUUGUUGGAAAGAUUUGGCUCAAGUGUCCAUCAGUUGGAACGUCCCUCCAGUUCAGAGAUACAUAUUGGGUUCCAUGUGGCACAGCUGAAGCUUUGCAAGGAUACUAGUUCUGCUAAUACCCACCCUUUGCCACCCAAUUCAUAACUAGUUUUCAAUUGGGGAGCCUAAGGCAAUUUUGUACAAUGGUAAAGAGGGGAUGCGUUUUGCUACUAAAGUUUACAUCGAAUGGAAGAAUUUACCUCCAGAGCAUGCCACCUGAGGGUUUCACUAUGAUUUUCUCAAGAAGUUCUCAACUUCUCAGCUUGGGGACAAAGAUGCACGGAGGCUAUUCUUACAGAAUUUAUAUGGGAUCACCUAUAAAUGCUGUAGCUUGCACGUUAUUUUUUUAUUUCAUUCUGCUUUAUAGGUUACCUCUUUCAUUUGGGUUUAUUUCCUUUUACUGUGGUUUGCUGAUGUGGCAAUGCACAAUCACUAAAAUAGGGUAGUGUAGAAGUUGGUUACAGCUUUUUCUUUUUCCGCCUAUGCGUGUAUUGUAUCUAUCUCAUGCUUAUGUGUUGUGGCAUUUUGGAAGAGACAGAUCACCACCAAAAUAUUUUAUCUUUGUCACAAAUUCACAAUCUCUUGAUUUCUGUUCCUUGAACACGGGGAACUAUUCCAAACUUUUAAUUCCCCGGUCCAUUGGGUUCUCUGUAUUCUCGAAGUUUAUUCUCCCUAAACAAGUUCCAUUUCAGGCAACUCAAAAUUACAGGCAUGUUGUGAUUACAUUUCUCUUCUUUUUACAUAACCUAGCUUUGCAAUUUAUGGUCUUUAUCUUCUUGAAAAGCAACUUUUUCCAAUAUCUGUGGAUAUUCAACAUCUCAACUUAAUUCUGAAACAGGAUUCCAUUCCAUAAACAACUUAUAUAUAUAUAUAUAUAUAUAUAUAUAUAUAUAAGAUUAAUUUUUUCAUUAGGCAAAACAAAAUACUAAAAAGUUAUUGAAGUCACAAAAGUUACCUUCAGUAGAAGGUCACAAGCAGACUCAGCUAUUGCUUUCUCAAUGCGUUUUGUAUUUGACAUCAAGAGAUCAUUCCCAACUAUCUGGAGAACCAUUCAAAUAAAGAAAAAAACUAUAUAAACAGAAGUUCCAUCAGAAGCCAAUUUCUGUAAAAUAAACAUCUCAGUCGCAAUAUGCAAUUAACCUAUCUAAUGCUCAAUCCCGAUAUAGAGGAAAAAGACAACAAUUUUAUAUGAAAUGUUUAUUCCUCCCUUGCCCACACAGCCUGCUAACGAGUCAAUAUGGCAUUUAUACACUAGCAAUCAGUUUGUUCUUAUUUUUUUAUUAAAAAUGUACACUGUUAUCAUUUAAAACAUUGUGCAAACUCCAAAAUGGUAAAACUUACUGCACAGCACAAUCUUUGCUGCACAAAUUAACUAGUACAGAGAUUGAAUUGACAUUAACUCAAACAAAAUAUUAAUUGAUUAAAAAAAUUUUAAAAAUACCUGAAAGUUUUUUAGGAGAUUGAAAAUCUAGAUCAUAUAUUUUACCUAUAUCAGGGAAAAAGCAUAUAUAAAUAACAGCAUAACCUGGUCAAAUUUAUUCAAAAGGCAAAAGGAGCCUAACACCAUGAGGUGAGGAAGGUUGCAUGACAGAAAAAGGUGUUAAGUAUUAAAUUAACAUAGUGAAAUAUUGUAACAUUUUGCAGUAGCUUUGCUGAUAAAUUAACUAUCAAGCAUAGUAUUAAUAUCCCCUCUCUAUAUAAAAUAGAAUAGUUAUCUUGAAUAAGGAUAUUUUUUAACUGUAUUUAUUUAUAUUUUUCAACUUUAUUUCUAAACUAAAUUUCAAUGUUUUUAAAAAUAAAUUAUCAAUAGUUAAAACAACCCAGUAUCACAAUAUAAAUUGUUUAUAAAAAAAAUCUAAGAUAUGAUUUUUAUGUUUAAAAGUAAAUAUUUGUUAUGAAAUUUAAUUACUAUAAUAUAACUUUUAUGAAAAAUAUUUAUUAUAAAUUUAGUUGUAUAAAAUAAUCAUUCAUCCCAUGCAUUGAAGAGGUUAAAAUACUAGUUAACAUUAAAAUGAUAAAGCAUGACAAAAAAUCAAUAACAGGCUGUUGAGAUUAAAAUUCAUAACAAUCGCCCAUGGUCAUCCUAUAUCACUUUUAAAGUCUGUCUAUCUCUCACCCUUCCAAACCCUUAUUUAUCUCUCUAAAAUUUUAAAGUAUGUAAACUCAAAAUAAAUUAAAAGUGGUUACCUGUAACUCCCCCUCCUCUCCAAAUAAAUAACAAUAAUCACAUACCAUCAUAUAAUACUUGUAUAACAAGACUCAGAAACCAAGUUAAAAAUGUCACAACUGGAAUUUAAAUAAAGAUGACAUUACCACAGCUGAUGCCUGAUGUUCUUUGGUAUUUAUAGCCAUUAUUGAAGCAUUAUUAACAGAUAAGAUUGUUAUUUUUACAUCUCUUAGAAAGUAAACGAUGCAGUAAAUAAUUAGCAUAGCGCUGCUGCAACAGUCAAAUUAUAAUAGCAAUAAGCAAUAUUAAAAUAAGCAAGUAUCACCAAAUUUUAUCUUCUCAAGAAUCUAAAAAUAAAAACGGAUAGAAACUUAUACUUACCAAUGCAAAAAUUUGUAGUAGCAACAUCAAGAGCUAUCUUUAUUUUCUCAUUAUAACCAGUUCUGCUAAUAGCCUCCUUGACAAGAUCCAGGGCUUCUCUAAAGCUGGUGAUACUUAAAUACAGUCAGAUAAAAAAAUAGAAACAAAAUAGAAAAACCUACAAAAGUAAUUUUAUUAGAGUUGAGAAAUACCUCUAUAACAAGUUUAGCCAGGUGAAAUUUUCAUAAAUAUUAAUUGAUUUUAUAUUUAAAAAAAAUAUACAAGUUUUAUAUUGAAUAUAUAGUUGAUUAAAGAUCUAUAUAGUUGGCUGAAAAUAACAUUAAUUUUUAUAUUAGAUUAGAUUAAAAGCAUGUAGAUUAGAUUAAUAAAACCCACCCAUUUAUAUUAAUUUUUAGAGUAUAGUCGGGUGAAAGUAACUUAAUCUAUUAAUGUACUCUCUCAUCUCCCUUCAACAAUGACUUAUCACUCAACUUAUUUUAAAUUUACAGUCGAAAAUUUAUAACUUCAAACCACUUCUUUUUCUAUUUAACUCUGCACACUUUAGAUUCUAAGUUAUAUGUUCAUAUUUCACCUGAAUUUAAAAAUAUUCAUACAACAUUAAUCUUAAUAUACAGAUGGCAAUCAUAAUACAUAGCAUCAUUUACCAUGUAGAAGAAAACAUAGUAAUUAUCCCAUGCAGCAGUUUGGCAAAAAACAUAGUGAUGCCUUAGCACUCUCACUUUUAUUAAAAAACAUGCCGCAGUUAAAAAAUGUUGACUAAAAGAAAAUACUAGUUUAAGAGGAAAAUACAAAUGAAAUUAUUUUCAUCACAAAUUUAUCACAGAUUUCUAAGGAAUAGAGAUUUCACAUUAAUGUAUCCAACAAAUAACAAAGUACAUUUAGAGAAAUUAAAAUUACAGCAGAAGAACCAGAAGUCAAAUUACCAACCAGAUUCAUGCAUGCAACUGUCAUUAUAUUAUAUAAAAUACUAUAUAGCGCAGUUUUUGGAGAUAAUUUAUGUUUACUUUCUUUGUUCUAAAAUGGAGACUUUUCCCCUAUUUUAUGCUAUUCAUUUAACAGUUAAGAACUUCAUAGAAAUUUAUGGACAACUCUAACACCUUCGAAAGUGAUACAAAUUAGUUGCAUAUUUAAAAUGUAAAAAACUAGCUGUUACAUGAGGCAGUCCAGUCCAGUCUUAAAUAGCCUACAUAAUAAGGCAUACUCUUCUGAAAACAAAGUUCCCUCUUCAAAACUCAGGGUUCUAUCAAAAGACUCACAAGUAUAUGUACCUGGCUUACUUUUUUUUUUUUCCAUUGAAUGAAUCAUGGGGAGCAGUGAAUACACAACCAAAAAAACGACUCAGGACUAGAAGAAACUUAUAUAGUAAUUAAUAUUGGUCACUGUCUUUCCUUACUCUGGAGAAACUAAACUGUUCUGAUUCUGGUCAGGAAACAACCAAUCUCCUGGUUUAUCAUCAGGGAAAUGCACUUCAACAUGAGGACCGUGAACAUCAACCAAAGCUUGCUUGCAUGCUUAGUUUUACCAUGAGAGCCAGCUUUAGAAACAAUGUUCGGUACCACAUGGAGCACAUGAACGUAUGAUUUGGCUAAAUCACAUCAUUCCAGAGCCAGAGAGGAAAGGCAGCCCAUAGAUUUAAUUACUAUGUACUAAUUGAUCACACAUGGUUGAAGAUAUGAAACAAAUUGACAUUCACCAUCCAUUUGGAUUUUAACCUGUGUAAAAGCAACUACAUCUAUAGAUUUUAGAGCAAUAACUCCUGCAGAUAUCUACCCUUAGCCUCUACAAAAGCUGACCCCAAGGCUUUCAAUGCUUUAGAGUUUAGGAAUGAAAAAAAAAACUUAGGAGAAGUUGGAUUGUGAUAAAAAAAGAAUACAUUCAUUCUUAUACAGCGUCAUCUAACCACCAAGAAUUGUGGGUAUAUAGGAUUGAAGAAAACCAUAUUGAUUCAGGAACCAUAUUGUGGGUAAAACUGUACUUAAGUGUGAUUGAAGAAAUUAAAUAUGGAACUGAUUAAGGAAUAUUUCUUUUAUCUCAGCACAGACUGCAACUGGUGUGGGUCAUAACCCACAUUACUAUGGUUACGUAAUAGAUCCUUCUUCAUCAAGAUUGACUGAUGGCACUACCAACACCAGAACCUGAUUCAUAAACCCACCAAUGCCUGGACCAUCAUAGGUUACAUAGCCCUCAACACCACACCCAUAUGCGCCUAACCCAUCGCCACUAUAACCAGUAACAAGGCCACACUGUAUAGUAGCACAAACAUUGUUACCCCUAAAAUAUCGGCACCACUGAAUUUACCCAAAGAUCUAAAGUCACUUUUCUUGACUGUAUCAAAGCCAAAUGUGGGACGCACACCCCAUUCUUAAACCGUUAAUUUCAAUAGACAAAAAGAAAACUCCAUAGAGAGAAUCUUAAUAAGAAAAAGAAAUUACGCGAGUGAGAGGAGAAAGACAAAAACAAAGAGAGGCACCUGAAAACAAGACUUCGAUGGGACAUCAAGACGAUCAAAUAACAACGAAGUUAGGAAUAUGAAAUCAAUGAACGUUUCCAAAAUCAUCAGGGAUUUGGAAUCGAUUGAAAUUUUAGGGAUUUGCCAAAAAUUCCCCCACCGGACCGUUUGCACUUUAUUUCCGAUCACCGGCGACGAGCUUUUUGCUUUUCUUUAGGCACAUUGGAACUGUGUUUUAGGUUUCUGAAAUUCCGCUUCUAAGUCCCAAUUCUUCGAGGAGUUUUCCUUUUAUUUAAAUAAGGGGCGAGAGGGAAAACGGAAAAAAUUAUAAAGUUAAUUUAAUUAAAAAUAAAAUAAAAUUGAGAGAUAGAAGAAAGUAAAAGAUUGUGAAAGAAGAAAUACAACUGGUGAUAACAAA